UGAGCAAUCUGCCCUUCUCAUCGGAAUAAGCGUUGGAAACGACGUCUAAUGCCGAAUACGACCUCCUUUCGCAUGAUCGGAGGUGGAAAACUCCGGCGGAGAAGGAUGAGCUCGCGGCCUAUCAGCUAGUUGGUGUGGGUAAUGGCCCACCAAGGCGACGACGGGUAGCCGGCCUGAGAGGGUGACCGGCCACACUGGGACUGAGACACGGCCCAGACUCCUACGGGAGANAG
rnacentral:rRNA from 1 species